ACUCAGCUGACAAGUAGCGAGAAGCUGUCUCUCUGCUCUUUUCACUGCUUUCAGGUAAGUUUAGUCCCUAAAGUUACACAAAUAAUACAUACAACUGUUCCUGACACUUUCUUACAUGUUACUGACACGUUUCUGUUGAAUCUUUACUUUACAGGAGUGGUAUAGUGUCUUCAAAAAGACCGUUAGCAUCACAACCGUUAACUAUAGAGGCUAACAAUUAGAGGAGCGUCAGAAUAAAAUACCUAAAACAGGGGAAGUUACAAAAAAAUUUGUAAUGUGAGCUGCUGACAGAGAUACAGGAAACACAGAGCUGGAGCGGAGCAGAUCUCCUGUCGAAGAACAUCUCCAAAGCACCAUGAACCAUCUGACUAGGCAGUUCGUGAAGACGGAUAACCUGGACAGAAGUCAGUUCAAGAUCCAGCCUCCACACUAGACUUCUCACUCACAAGGAUUGCUGUCUACUAGAUAUUAUGUGUACUCUUCAGACUUAGGUUCAUGCAGAUAUUAUUCAGGGACAUGAACACUUGAAUACUGCAAAAAUAGAGAAACUACCUUUAUUUAAGAAUUUUGUGUUAAUUGUGUGAACAUUAAACAAAUAUAUAUUUAUUUUACAGUUUUUUUUGUUUUGUAUUCCAAAGCACCUAAAAGCCAAUUCACACUGCCAUACUCCAACAGGGUGAACACACUGACCAAGCAAAACAAAUAAGCAUGUUUUUAUAGUUUUUGUGAAAGUGUGAACUGACAAUGCUGUAUGUUAGGUGUGAGAUUCAUUCAACUUGGUUUGCUGAUUAAACAUGAUUAAAUAUUUGUUCAGAAUAUUGUCGUUGUUGUGACUAUUCAUCUAGGAGGGGUGUGUAUCAAGUGGCUUGGUUAUGGUUUUGUUGAGGCUGACAUGUGGAACCCAUC